UUUCUCACCUCGUGUUCUGUAUAUUCUAGUACUUACUGUUAAUGCCAAUAACUUUACUUUCAAUUUCGAGGCUAACAGUUCUGGUCCUCGUUUUAACUUGGCGUGGAGAUUUUACUCUCCCAACGGUAGUCUGCUUCUAAGAGCAUGCGAAUUACGUUUGAAAAUAGUAUGUAGCAGAAAACGAAAGAAAGUGUCAAAGAAAACCACGUUGCCUUGGGAAAGGAAAGAAAGUGGUCACUGGAAAGGUCUCAAAUAUGGCAACGAAGCUUAUCGACUACUACGAGCAAGGUUUAAACGGUUGGGAUUCGGGUUGAGUUCCUGGUGGGAAAUUGGAGAUAGUGCGGGGAGACCAUUCCGGUGCUCCUUGGAAAUCUUGGCAUUCCUGGUGCUGGCAAACAUCCAUGCAAUAUGGCAUGCUGUCGAAUAUCGUCCAAACACCCUGAGUUUAGCAUCUAACAGAUACUUUAAGUUUAUUACUACCUGAGAAUCGCACUUAUGCAUGUAAGAAAGCACAUACAUAUGUACACACGAUGUCCGUGUACAUAUAUGUAUAAGUACAUGUAAUGGCAAGAAGCAAAAAGCUCAUACUUAAAGUGUGCUGGGGAGAUUAGGAGUAGGAUGGUGCAUGCUUACAUACCAAAUAUCCCUGGAAAACCGCCAUCGCGUAGCUCUUUAUAUCAUAGAUGUAAGCAGUAUUAGAGGGGUAUACCCCGGCGCCCUUCUGAAAGCGGUGUACUUUAAGGACCUGUCAUUUAGCCCAAGGACCAAAGUCUGGUUUCCCUUAAAGUCGAAAUGAUUAAAAAUUUCAAUCCAGAACUGUCUGUUACCGACCGGAAAGUAGUAAAGGUAGAGACUAAUACCAAUGCUACGCGGCAAGCAGUGCUAACGAUUGAUAAGGAAUCACUCCCAGUACCGGAAAUAAAGUGAAGAACACUAAAUAUUGACUUUGACACUUUCACGGUUGUGGUCUGCAGCAAUAACUUCAAGGCGGCGAAGAAUCUGAAUCGGAGGUCAUUGGACGAUCUAUCGAUGGCUAUGCAAAAUGCGCGUUCAGACGCUAAACUGCGGAGGAAGGAGGAACUAAUGUCUUAUGGCGCAGCGAACUACUCUGAAGGAGUCACGCUUUAAAAGUCAAUAUUGAACGUGAAAAAAAAAUUGGGUUCAUCGAAUUCGUUCCUGCAAAAGAAGUCGUGGAGCCCAUUUGAAUGAUGUUAAAUUCAGAACGUAAUUGUAACGAUU